GCCCGCCCACCUGCCCGCUGCAGCUGAGCUGGCGCGGCCGCCGGCGGGCGCGGGGAGGGCGAAGUGCGGGCUCAGCACCUGCGCCGGCCGCAUGCUACCCCUGCCCUGCCACCCUGGCCCGCUGGGUGGCCAGGCUCGGCCCAGUCGGGACAUGUCUGCCCCGCCCGCCGCACCGACCUCAGGGGCAGGGCUGAGGGGGAUCGGGGUGCCCUGCUCCCUCCCGGCCUUGAUCUGCCCCGCCCUGCUGACAGCCCGGGCGUCGGGGGAAGUCGUGGGGGGAGCCUGGGUUCCGGCUGGAGCCCCGGCUUCCCGUCCAGCUCCCAUGGCCCCCACGGCAGGAAGCGGCCCCAGCUGGUUCAGGCCUUCCUGCCCCCUCCCCGGACGCAGGGACAGGGUCAGUGUGGGAGGGGGAGGGGCAGGUGCAGGGGAGCAGAAAAGCUCCCUUUCAGCUACCAGCUAAAUCUCAGGACUAGAUGGGUGUCUGGGACCGCGCGCACACGUGCGUGUGUAUGUGUGUGCGUGUGUGUGUGUAGUGUGCAGCUUUGUGGGGUCGCUCUGUCUCCAGCCCAACAGCCUGGUGCCUGCUCGCCUUUGGCAUGGAUGGCAUUGUCAUUUGGGAUGUGUGUCCCCAGCACGUGUUCAGCUCCGUGUUUGUGGCUAUGCCGCAUGUCUGUGGAGUGCGUCUGCCGGCUCAUGUUUCUGCUGGGCAAGCUGGGGUACUUUCUGUGGGUUCCCUCGUGGCACUAUUUGGUGAGUCUGUGCACCCAUGGAUUGUAUAUCUGGGUCAUAUGCUGUAUGUCUGAUUUUCUCCUCAGCAUCUUCACAGUUCUGUGGGUGUAAAUUUUUGCAUUCUUAGUGUAAGUUUUAAUUGAAGUCUGGGUGUUGCUUUGCCUAUGUUUAUGGAUCUGUGAGAAAAAUGAGGUGUUUUGGGAGGUGGUGUGUACUUUUUCUUGCACAUGAGCUGUUUUUGGUGCACGUGUGUGAUAGUUGCCAGUGCUUGUGUCUGUGGGUGAGUUUCUAGGUUACAUUUUUUUCUUUUCUUU
rnacentral:lncRNA from 1 species